UCCCAGUCACCUACCGCUUCUUCCGGUUAGAAGAGCCUGCCGGGAAGCCAGCUGGCAAAAGAGCCUGGGAAAUUGUUUUUGCAGGGUUCCAACCCUGAGUGACACAGAGCAAAGAGAGCACAGAAGGGCAGAAAUGGAACUGAGAGAAAAGAGACAAAUUUCUGGCAAUAACCCCCACCUUAAGAAGGACUGAAGGGGAAGGGGGAGUGACCAGCUUUCAGAUGAGCCUCCAGGCCUGACUGACAGCUUGCUUGCAGCCUCAUGAAAGACUAAUGCAGCUAAGCCCCACCCGGAUUCCUGAUCUACAGACAUUGGGAGACAAGAAAUGCGAGUUGCUUUAAACUACUAAUUUUUUGAUACUCCCUUCCAGAACCCAACUGUCAUGCUGAGAGAAGCCCAAGCCACAAGGAGGAGCCAUAUACAGAAGCUUUGGUCAACCAACCUGGAGAAGCCCAACCUUUGAAUCAUCUCAGCCCAGGCUGCAAGCAUUUCUGGAGUUCUAAAGCCCAAAAUCCGUAUCAUGGAGUCAUGCUCCCUCUGCAGGAUCUAGGGGAGAACGUGUUCAUUGUCUCUUCUAGCUUCUGGUGGCUGUCGGCACUCUUUGGCUUGUGGCCACAUCACUCCAAUCUUCAAGGCGAGCAUCUUCAAAUCUCUCUGCUCUGUCUUCACAUCACCUUCUCCUGUGUGUGUGUGUAUCAAAUCUCCCUCUGACUUUCUCUUAUAGAGACACUUGCGAUUGCAUUUAGAGCCCACCUGGAUAAUCCAGGUAAGCUCCCCACCUCGAUAUCCUUAAUUUAAUCACAUCCACAAAGUCUUUUCCAUAUAAGGUUACAUUUAUAAGCUCCAUGAAUUAGGAUGUGACUAUCUUUCAAGGGGCCAUUUCUCACCCUACCACAGUGACCAGAAGUCCUAAUCCAAGCUGAGGGUGGUGAUGUGCCAAGGAUGAUUUUCCUGAAGAAGAGACUUUGAGCUGAUAACUGAACAAAGAGU